rnacentral:rRNA from 1 species
UGUCUUGUAAUUGGAAUGAUGGGAAUUUAAACCUCUUCCAGAGUAUCAAUUGGAGGGCAAGUCUGGUGCCAGCAGCCGCGGUAAUUCCAGCUCCAAUAGCGUAUAUUAAAAUUGUUGCAGUUAAAAAGCUCGUAGUUGAAUUUCUGCUGCAUUGCUUUUGCUCCUUUACGAGUCUUUGCAUUGUGGCUUAUUUCGGACUUUGUUUUACAAUGUCCGGAUGUUUACUUUGAGAAAAUUAGAGUGCUCAAAGCAGGCUUUCGCCUUGAAUAGUUUAGCAUGGAAUAAUAAAGUAGGACUUUGGUUCUAUUUUGUUGGUUUUAGGUACCAAAGUAAUGGUUAAUAGGAACAGUUGGGGGCAUUCGUAUUUAACUGUCAGAGGUGAAAUUCUUAGAUUUGUUAAAGACGAACUACUGCGAAAGCAUUUGCCAAGGAUGUUUUCAUUAAUCAAGAACGAAAGUUAGGGGAUCGAAGACGAUCAGAUACCGUCGUAGUCCUAACCAUA